GGUUAAGCGACUAAGCGUACACGGUGGAUGCCCCGGCAGUCAGAGGCGAUGAAGGACGUGCUAAUCUGCGAAAAGCGUCGGUAAGGUGAUAUGAACCGUUACAGCCGGCGAUGUCCGAAUGGGGAAACCCAGUGCAAUUCGUUGCACUAUCGUUAACUGAAUACAUAGGUUAACGAGGCGAACCGGGGAACUGAAACAUCUAAGUACCCCGAGGAAAAGAAAUCAACCGAGAUUCCCCAGUAGCGGCGAGCGAACGGGGAGCAGCCCAGAGUCUGAAUCAGCUUGUGUGUUAGUGGAACGGUCUGGAAAGUCCGACGGUACAGGGUGAUAGUCCCGUACACCAAAAUGCACAGGUUGUGAACUCGAAGAGUAGGGCGGGACACGUGGUAUCCUGUCUGAAUAUGGGGGACCAUCCUCCAAGGCUAAAUACUCCUGACUGACCGAUAGUGAACCAGUACCGUGAGGGAAAGGCGAAAAGAACCCCGGCGAGGGGAGUGAAAAAAGAACCUGAAACCGUGUACGUACAAGCAGUGGGAGCACCUUCGGGUGUGACUGCGUACCUUUGUAUAAUGGGUCAGCGACUUAUAUUCUGUAGCAAGGUUAACCGUAUAGGGGAGCCGCAGGGAAACCGAGUCUUAACUGGGCGUUAAGUUGCAGGGUAUAGACCCGAAACCCGGUGAUCUAGCCAUGGGCAGGUUGAAGGUUGGGUAACACUAACUGGAGGACCGAACCGACUAAUGUUGAAAAAUUAGCGGAUGACUUGUGGCUGGGGUGAAAGGCCAAUCAAACCGGGAGAUAGCUGGUUCUCCCCGAAAGCUAUUUAGGUAGCGCCUCGUGAACUCAUCUUCGGGGUAGAGCACUGUUUCGGCUAGGGGUCAUCCCGACUUACCAACCCGAUGCAAACUACGAAUACCGAAGAAUGUUAUCACGGGAGACACACGGCGGGUGCUAACGUCCGUCGUGAAGAGGGAAACAACCCAGACCGCCAGCUAAGGUCCCAAAGUCAUGGUUAAGUGGGAAACGAUGUGGGAAGGCACAGACAGCCGGGAUGUUGGCUUAGAAGCAGCCAUCAUUUAAAGAAAGCGUAAUAGCUCACUGGUCGAGUCGGCCUGCGCGGAAGAUGUAACGGGGCUAAACCAUGCACCGAAGCUGCGGCAGCGACACUAUGUGUUGUUGGGUAGGGGAGCGUUCUGUAAGCCUGCGAAGGUGUGCUGUGAGGCAUGCUGGAGGUAUCAGAAGUGCGAAUGCUGACAUAAGUAACGAUAAAGCGGGUGAAAAGCCCGCUCGCCGGAAGACCAAGGGUUCCUGUCCAACGUUAAUCGGGGCAGGGUGAGUCGACCCCUAAGGCGAGGCCGAAAGGCGUAGUCGAUGGGAAACAGGUUAAUAUUCCUGUACUUGGUGUUACUGCGAAGGGGGACGGAGAAGGCUAUGUUAGCCGGGCGACGGUUGUCCCGGUUUAAGCAUGUAGGCUGAUUGUCCGAGGCAAAUCCGGAUAAUCAAGGCUGAGGUGUGAUGACGAGGCACUACGGUGCUGAAGUAACAAAUGCCCUGCUUCCGAGGAAAAGCCUCUAAGCAUCAGGUAACAUUAAAUCGUACCCCAAACCGACACAGGUGGUCAGGUAGAGAAUACCAAGGCGCUUGAGAGAACUCGGGUGAAGGAACUAGGCAAAAUGGUGCCGUAACUUCGGGAGAAGGCACGCUGGUGUGUAGGUGAAGUCCCUGCGGAUGGAGCUGAGACCAGUCGAAGAUACCAGCUGGCUGCAACUGUUUAUUAAAAACACAGCACUGUGCAAACACGAAAGUGGACGUAUACGGUGUGACGCCUGCCCGGUGCCGGAAGGUUAAUUGAUGGGGUUAUCCGUAAGGAGAAGCUCUUGAUCGAAGCCCCGGUAAACGGCGGCCGUAACUAUAACGGUCCUAAGGUAGCGAAAUUCCUUGUCGGGUAAGUUCCGACCUGCACGAAUGGCGUAAUGAUGGCCGGGGCUGUCUCCACCCGAGACUCAGUGAAAUUGAACUCGCUGUGAAGAUGCAGUGUACCCGCGGCAAGACGGAAAGACCCCGUGAACCUUUACUAUAGCUUGACACUGAACAUUGAGCCUUGAUGUGUAGGAUAGGUGGGAGGCUUUGAAGCGUGGACGCCAGUCUGCGUGGAGCCAACCUUGAAAUACCACCCUUUAAUGUUUGAUGUUCUAACGUUGGCCCCUGACCGGGGUUGCGGACAGUGUCUGGUGGGUAGUUUGACUGGGGCGGUCUCCUCCCAAAGCGUAACGGAGGAGCACGAAGGUUAGCUAAUCCCCGGUCGGACAUCAGGAGGUUAGUGCAAUGGCAUAAGCUAGCUUGACUGCGAGCGUGACGGCGCGAGCAGGUGCGAAAGCAGGUCAUAGUGAUCCGGUGGUUCUGAAUGGAAGGGCCAUCGCUCAACGGAUAAAAGGUACUCCGGGGAUAACAGGCUGAUACCGCCCAAGAGUUCAUAUCGACGGCGGUGUUUGGCACCUCGAUGUCGGCUCAUCACAUCCCUGGGGCUGAAGUAGGUCCCAAGGGUAUGGCUGUUCGCCAUUUAAAGUGGUACGCGAGCUGGGUUUAGAACGUCGUGAGACAGUUCGGUCCCUAUCUGCCGUGGGCGCUGGAGAAUUGAGGGGGCUGCUCCUAGUACGAGAGGACCGGAGUGGACGCAUCACUGGUGUUCGGGUUGUCAUGCCAAUGGCACUGCCCGGUAGCUAAAUGCGGAAGAGAUAAGUGCUGAAAGCAUCUAAGCACGAAACUUGCCCCGAGAUGAGUUCUCCCUGAGACUUUAAGUCUCCUGAAGGAACGUUAAAGACGAUGACGUUGAUAGGCCGGGUGUGUAAGCGCAGCGAUGCGUUGAGCUAACCGGUACUAAUGAACCGUGAGGCUUAACCUU
rnacentral:rRNA from 1 species